CCUCCCCCUCCCCCUCCUUCGCAACCACCUCGGAGCCUCUCACGACUGGCCCUUUAAGAGGAUAUUCCGUCCUCUCUCCGCUCUCCUGCCCCCGGCCGGCCCCACAGCCCGGACGCGCUUUCACCGGAUCAAGGGCUCCGGUUCUUGGAGGACGCCCCACCCCCCGGAGGGUGCCUAAGAAUCUGUACUCCUACCCACUCCCUGACUAGAGGGGAGUCCUGCCGCGUCCUGCCUUCCCGGCUGUGUCCUCCCUUGCCCUGUCUUACCCCAUUCCCCUUCACAACCCGGGUAGUUCGAACCCCGCUUCUCUGCCUGCCCGCUGUUGGUUUGCUCCCUGCGGGCAUCAGCUCCGUCCAACAUAGGCUGAGCCCGCAAGCCUUGCCGGGUCCGGUCUUCCCCGUCUCCUCCCCAACCCCAGUGGUCCCUAGUCGGGACGCCCCCCUCCUUCCUUCAGUGUUAUAAACAUAAACAGCACAACUCUACUUUGUUAGUCUCCAGGCUGCUGAGCUUGCUACCCUAGGCCGGGACGGAAGUCUUUUGGGGAGAGGGGAGACAGGAACUGGAAAGGGAAAGGGUCUAGAAUCGCUGGAGAACCUCUGGCGCUCCAAGGACCUGGGGGGACACCGAAGGGACUGGAUCGGUGCGGGGAUCGGCAGAGCUCAGAGAAGUUCGGGGUGGGAAAGGGUUGUGGUUGAAAGCCACCCCAGGUACCCCGGGACCUAUCCACACAGCCCAGCCCUGAUUCCAGGUGCACUGAAGCCAGCUUUCCCUAGCACUUCUGCCUCUUGGCCAGGCUGGGACCAAGGCGGGAAGGAAGGGACUGACUUAUCUGCCCCAGCCCCCCUCAUUUUUUCUCCUACAGCUAUUCCCCGACCUUGCGGCUUCUCUGCUGGGGCUAUCCAGCGGAGACAGCCUCACAAUACCAGCGAGGAACGAAAACGGCCCCCAAUGUCCAGAAAUUCCAGGCCGUUGGUUCUUCUUGGUUUUAUUCUCGAAAGGGAAAGGCCUGAAGUGCGUAGGGGAAGAGCAGGUAUCGAAGAAGCCGGGAUUUCGGAGGAGCCGGGGACCGAGGGGGAAAUUCCCGGAGGUUGGGCUCAGUCCCCUGGUUCUCCCUUGAAGAAAGUGGCUCCACAGGGCGGAAUUUCUUGUCUGUUCUGAGACUAGAGGUCCCCGAAGCUGACCCAAGGAAAGUCAGGCUCCAUUUCUAAUCAGCUCUUCUGCUGUUAGGUUCUGGACGCCUUGGGUAGGAGUGAGGAAGUAGAGUAAGAAGAGGGUGAAGAGUUUGUUUCUCUGACACCAAAAGGCUUAAUUGCGGUUUCCAGUCUAAGGUUCAGGAGCCCACCGAGCUUGUUGGAGACCACCAAUAGCCCCGCAGGAUUCCCCCAACUUGGCUCUUCUUUUCUCCUAUCUCUGUUCUCUCUUCUCCUCAUCUUGGAUACCAGCCCCUGAGGAAGUCGUAAGUCUGUGGUGGCCGCAUAAACCUGCCAUAGGAAAAAACCGCCCCUGGACUCCGCUGCUCUCUCCUCAGACUUUUGGAUGUACCACCUCCGUCCCGGGGGACAUCAGCCAGGGUUGGGUCUUCAAGCCUCAAUGAUCCAAAGACCCAGAGGGUCAGAGAAAGCAGCCGUGGUCCCGGCGGGCGGGGCCUUCGUGGCCACGGAGCAGGAGUCGUCGCUUACCCCCACCUUUCAUGUCUUCAAGAGUCCCUGGAUCCGGAGUGGAGAGGUUUGGCAGUUACCAUUUUUAUAGAGACCGAGAAAAAAAAAAUCAGAGACGUCCAUUUCUGUUUUCAAACGAUUUACGGGCUUCGCGUUGGAGUAGGAACUCAGAAACCAGAAAGAAACGAAGGGAUGGCAUAGCUGGUUUUAGACCCAGGGAAAACCUGCGCUAAGCCACUCACCAGAGCCCACCUGCAGUCAGUGCAAGGGGAGACUGGAACGAGACACUCUUUGCUCAGUUUACACUUCGACAAAGCUGUCUCGCAUGGCGCCCGCUGACUCCCGUCUAUUCUCUGGUUCCUGUGUCCUCCUGCUGCCCUGUGGCUGCCUCAGGACGUGGUGUGGGGAUGGGGGUAGGUGUGAGCCAGAGGGACAUCGCGCCCUCCUAAACAGCUCUCCUGGCCGAGCCGCUUGGCCGGCACGUGGCAGGAGCUUCUUCUCGGAGCAUAGCAGAGUGCGGCCACAUUCUCCAACUCCCUGAGUCAGCCCCGCAGCGGCAAUGCUCCCAGGCUAAAGAUUAGCACCCCAAAGCCCGGGAUGCCUCGAAGAGGGCUCCAAGCUCAUGGAGCUUGUCAGCCAGUGUGCAGAGGAACUCGUGGGUCUUGGAGGCCUGGAAGCAAGCAAGGCUCUAUCUACCAUGGGGGAAGGAAUGAAUACUGUUGCCUUUGACAUUUACUCUCCUCUGGGAGCAGUAAAGACUGGACACUUCUCCUCCUCCCUUCCCCCAAAGACUGGACGCCCGGUCGGGCUUCCCAGGGAGCAAUUCCUCUUGGCUCAGUGCAAAGCGUUUUGGGUUGACUAGUUGACUAGCCACGAAUGGAAUUUAGGCAGAUGAAAACGGGGAAGUCUGACCACUUAUCCCCACCCGAGGGAUGAUGAUGAUGGUGAUGGUGAUGAUAAUGACGACCACGAUGAUGAUGAUGUUAAUCUCUGCCAGUCUGUUUGGUUAGAGUGAGCAAGCAGCAAAGGGAAGCAAUAAAGUGAGAGCAGAUUUAUCCUAUGCCCUCGGGGGACUCGUCCGGUUUGGGGCAAGCGUGGAGAAACCACCCCUCUGGGGGCAAUGGUGUGUACGGGGGAGGUGAACUGAGGAGGGAUGAGCUGGACCAUCAGAACAUUGAGGAAACACUGCCCCAGACUGAGACACGCAGAUAUAGACAUUUUGCAAAGACAAAGACUGUAGAAACGUAUAAUAUACAUGUAUACACAUAUGCAUAAUAAGGUCACACACACCAACGACACCUCCAGAGAAACUACAAACACAUCGCAAACACACACACACAUAUGCGACAGACAUACACAGAGACACACAUACUUUAGGCAUACAGGCACACCACUGACAUACAACAGGCACACAUUCACACCUGACCAACACACACACUACUCCGCAGACACACUGACAGAUUGAUAUAUGGAUGAGCAAGCAAACUAUGUGCCUACUACGAACACUGUUACCACAUAUAUGCCGUGCCUACCCAAUACAGAUUGAUACACAUAGAGAAGACAAACACGCAUUACAAACAUGUACACCACACACAUGCAACGGACACGUACAUGUGGACCUCAAAGACACGCCCACACUCUUAGCAACACGCACACACAACAGACGAACAUUUGAAUUUCUCUCUUGAGAGAUUUAAACGAAGUCAUGCUUCCAGGAAUGUCUCUCUUCAGAACUUGGAAGAGAAGGGUUGGACAGCUCUCUGUGGAGCCCCGGCCUCACAUGCCCAAACCCAUUCCUCAAUCCUGUCCGCCAAGCACGCCCUUUAAUCUUUUCCUCUUGGGUCACUGGGAGCCCUCAUUUUUGGGGCUACGUUCCUAGAGCGCCGCUACCCCCAAGCAAUGUGAAUGCAAUCGAAUCGAUUUUCUUUAUACUCUAAAAGAGAGGCUUAGUUCUCCACACCCGGAAAAUCUUCCAUUUCUCAGGCUUAGCAAGAACGAACCACUAGCUCCGCUUUUGGAAUGGAUCAGACUGUCCAGAGUUACAGAAGAGACACCGUAUCAUAAUGGAGCUCUGAUACCUACCUUUAUGAUUGUGGGCAAGCCUCAGUUUCCUCUUCGGUAAAAUGGGGCUGAUAUUUGUAACACCCAUUUAACAACAUGGUUGUGAGGCUAAAACAGUCAUACCUGUCAAACCUUGUUGUAAAUCUUAAAGCGUAAUAGAAAAGCCAGUGACUGAGA